rnacentral:rRNA from 1 species
GACGAACGCUGGCGGCGUGCUUAACACAUACAAGUCGAACGGUGAAGCGAGUGCUUGCACUCGUGGAUCAGUGGCGAACGGGUGAGUAACACGUGAGUAACCUGCCCAUCACUCUGGGAUAAGCACUGGAAACGGUGUCUAAUACUGGAUACGACCAACCCUUGCAUGGGGUGUUGGUGGGAAGAUUUAUCGGUGAUGGAUGGACUCGCGGCCUAUCAGCUUGUUGGCGGGGUAAUGGCCCACCAAGGCGACGACGGGUAGCCGGCCUGAGAGGGUGACCGGCCACACUGGGACUGAGACACGGCCCAGACUCCUACGGGAGGCAGCAGUGGGGAAUAUUGCACAAUGGGCGAAAGCCUGAUGCAGCGACGCCGCGUGAGGGAUGACGGCCUUCGGGUUGUAAACCUCUUUCAGCAGGGAAGAAGCGAAAGUGACGGUACCUGCAGAAGAAGCACCGGCUAACUACGUG